GCCGGUGUGGUGAAAUGGCAGACACGGUAGACUCAAAAUCUACUACUCGCAAGGGUGUGUGGGUUCAACUCCCACCGCCGGCA
rnacentral:tRNA from 1 species